GGGGAAGAUGCCUGCUUGCUGAGACUGUUCUCAGAGAAAUCUCUUUGUUCCUGCACUGAAUAUAUUAACAGGGUUUGUGAACGUAACCUAAAAGACCUGUCUUCAAGGGAUUAUCUCUGCACCGGUAAGCAUCAAAGUCCCUAUGUGGACCUCUGGAUUCUGUGCUGCUCUUGAGGCGAAGGAAAAACUACUGAGAAUUAUUAACGUUCCUCUGUAAAAUGAAGAGCAUCCCUUUCCCAGACUCCAUCAGUGCUUCACAGCAUCUUUGACUGUUUAUUUCAGCAUUGAUUCCCAAAGCCUUGGCCUCUCUCCUCACUUCUUUUACCUGGCUCUGUCCG